rnacentral:rRNA from 1 species
GACGUAGGGGGCCAGCGUUGUUCGGAAUCACUGGGUGUAAAGGGUUCGUAGGCGGUGCGGCAAGUCGGGAGUGAAAUCUCUGGGCUUAACCCAGAGGCUGCUUCCGAAACUGCUGUGCUUGAGUGUGGGAGAGGCGCGUGGAAUUGCAGGUGUAGCGGUGAAAUGCGUAGAUAUCUGCAGGAACACCCGUGGCGAAAGCGGCGCGCUGGACCACUACUGACGCUGAGGAACGAAAGCUAGGGGAGCAAACAGG